CCUACGGGUGGCAGCAGUGGGGAAUAUUGCACAAUGGGGGAAACCCUGAUGCAGCGACGCCGCGUGAGUGAAGAAGUAUUUCGGUAUGUAAAGCUCUAUCAGCAGGGAAGAAAAUGACGGUACCUGACUAAGAAGCCCCGGCUUACUACGGGCCAGCAGCCGGGGUAAUACGUAGGGGGCAAGCGUUAUCCGGAUUUACGGGGUGUAAAGGGAGCGUAGACGGCCAGACAAGUCAGAAGUGAAAGUCCAGGGCUCAACCCUGGGACUGCUGUUGAAACUGCCGGGCUGGAGUGCAGGAGAGGUAAGCGGAAUUCGUGGUGUAGCGGUGAAAUGCGUAGAUAUUAGGAAGAACACCGGUGGCGAAGGCAGCAUACUGGACUGUAACUGACGUUGAGGCUCGAAAGCGUGGGGAGCGAACAGGAUUAGAUACCCCAGUAGUC
rnacentral:rRNA from 1 species